rnacentral:rRNA from 1 species
UCGGCUGACGGCUCAGUAACACGUGGAUAAUCUGCCCUUAGGUGGAGGAUAAUCUCGGGAAACUGAGGAUAAUACUCCAUAGAUCUAGAAUGCUGGAAUGCAUCUAGAUUGAAAGCUCCGGCGCCUAAGGAUGAGUCUGCGGACUAUCAGGAUGUAGUCAGGGUAAAGACCUGACUAGCCUACGACGGAUACGGGUUGUGAGAGCAAUAACCCGGAGACGAUAUCUGAGACACGAUAUCGGGCCCUACGGGGCGCAGCAGGCGCGAAAACUUCACACUGUGCGAAAGCGCGAUGAGGGAAUCCCAAGUGUUUGCUCGUAAGAGUAAACUGUUUCUUUGUUUAAAACGCAGAGAGAGUAAGGGCUGGGUAAGACGGGUGCCAGCCGCCGCGGUAAUACCUGCAGCUCAAGUGGUGAUCAUUAUUAUUGGGCCUAAAACGUCCGUAGCCGGUUUAGUAAAUGCCUGGGUAAAUCGUGUAGCUUAACUAUACGACUUCCGGGUAGACUGCUAAACUUGAACCGGGAGAGGCUAGAGGUACUCCUGGGGUAGAGGUGAAAUUCUGUAAUCCUAGGGGGACCACCAGUGGCGAAGGCGUCUAGCUAGAACGGGUCUGACGGUGAGGGACGAAGCCCUGGGGCACAAACCGGAUUAGAUACCCGGGUAGUCCAGG